rnacentral:lncRNA from 1 species
AUGGGAGUGUAUGGCUGGCCUGUGAUCUGGAUCGUGGAUCCCCUUACCCCAAAAUUUCUCAUCAAGGAUUUCAAGGGAAACGGCUCUAGCGACAACUUGAAAUUCGACACCACCAAGCCCUUUGUCUAUGCUACCCUGUGAUGCUUCCAGCUUUUAGAAACGGGUGCGUCUGUGCGGCAUUUGACUGACAGUGUAUCCUCCUGGAGAAAUCAAAAAGGGAAAAUGGAAGUAACAAAGCACUACUGGACCAUCUGGCUUCUUUCCAGGAUCAAAAGCAGGCAUUCAGUGGAAAGCUUUGCCUUUCCUUACGUACAGUUACAUCUCGUAGUCUGUUGCUCCCUCUCGUGAGGGCUUCUUGUAUUACAAGAAUGGGAUCUUCCUUUUGGUGGCUAGUCACCACUACCCCGGACCAUCACCACCAGAAAAAGAGGAGACACAUGGAUUUGCGUAACAUUUUAAUAGGAUAAUGUCUCCAGAGGCAAACUUGGAAAUGAUUAUUACGAGUUAAAUUAAAAAUAUGCUACAUCUAUCAGCCUAUUGGGGAAAUACUCCAGUUUACAUUCUAAAAAUUUCAGUAGUGGGAACUAAUGUACCGAUAAUAAGCAUUCAUAUAGAAAAACCUAGUGAACAUUUUUAAAGACAAGUGGAGAGAGCUGGUGUGGAGUAGCACGUAUAGGGCCGGACUAUAAUUCCGGUGACCCUAGUUCAAAUCGACGCUCAGCCAUGGAAUCUCAUUGCGGGGGAGUUGCACCAAUGCUAAAACUAAUGCUAAAAGCUAAGGCUCCAAUACUUUGGCCAUCUCAUGAGAAGAGAAGAUUCCCUGGAAAGGACCCUGAUGUUGGGAAAGUGUGAAGGCAAGAGGAGAAGGG